AUUCAGUUGGCGAUUCUCAGAUAGGACGAAACGCGCGUCCUGGAU
rnacentral:hammerhead_ribozyme from 1 species